rnacentral:rRNA from 1 species
AUUGAACGCUGGCGGCAUGCCUUACACAUGCAAGUCGAACGGCAGCACGGGGCAACCUGGUGGCGAGUGGCGAACGGGUGAGUAAUGCAUCGGAACGUACCCGGAAGUGGGGGAUAACGUAGCGAAAGUUACGCUAAUACCGCAUAUUCUGUGCGCAGGAAAGAGGGGGAUCUUCGGACCUCUUGCUUUCGGAGCGGCCGAUGUCAGAUUAGCUAGUUGGUGAGGUAAAGGCCCACCAAGGCGACGAUCUGUAGCGGGUCUGAGAGGAUGAUCCGCCACACUGGGACUGAGACACGGCCCAGACUCCUACGGGAGGCAGCAGUGGGGAAUUUUGGACAAUGGGCGCAAGCCUGAUCCAGCCAUGCCGCGUGAGUGAAGAAGGCCUUCGGGUUGUAAAGCUCUUUCGGCCGGGAAGAAAUCGCGUGAGUUAAUACCUUGCGUGGAUGACGGUACCGGAAUAAGAAGCACCGGCUAACUACGUGCCAGCCGCCGCAGUAACAC